AGUCUGUGUUUGUUUUGAUAGUCUGUCUGGACUAACAACUGCAGUUACAGUUUUCCUCUUCUUCUGAAGUUCAGAUCAUUUUCAUUGUUCUUUCUUACAAACAGUACAGUAGCGUGCUUAAGACUUGGCCCACCUAGCUUGCUGCAAUGUUGUGGCUGUACAGACUUAUGUAUUUUUCUUCUUCUUCAUUAAAGCACAAGCCGUAAAUAGAGGAAAUUUGUUCAGUGCAUUAAAAGGACAAACAUCUAGGCUAGUUUAUGUUAUAACAUUGCUAAAACAACAGAUGUAAUGGUGGCCCAAGAGUUUUGCACGGAACUGUACAUGGCUUUUCUGCGGUUGCAGACUCCUUGCCAGUUUCCAAUUGGCCUUAUAUCAAGGUCCUACCUACUAAGUUCAGUAACUCAAUUCCUAUGGUGUUCACAGAUCACCCUGGAGGCUGUUGGACAACUUGGUCUCUCAGAGCACAGCUGUAGCUGUGCUGCGGGCAAAGGCUUCUGUAGCCAUGUAACCACUCUGCUCUUCCAGACAGCGCAUUAUGUGCAAAUGGGCCUUGAUGUGGUUCCACCUUCCCUGGCCUGUACCAGUCAACCACAGAUGUGGCAUCGACCUAGAACACAGGGAAUCCAUCAAGAGGCUGUGAGUGACCUUGUGGUGAAAAAACCCAAGUCGGUGGGGAAGAGUCAAGUCCACACUCCAAAGAGCGUAUGCUGAGGGAAUAUCCAGCUUGGAGUUGGUACCAUCUCAGAUGUGCUGACCUGGAAGAUGUCAGCAAUGACCUGUUCUUUAAGGCCAGUUGCUACUCUACAACAGUAGAUGAAAAACUCAUCAAUGACUGGAAUCUUCCUUGAAGGGCUUGGUGUUGGAAUCGCCUCUUGUCCAAUCCUCUGUGCUUUGCUCCAAUAAACAAUAUAUUGUGUUGAGGGGCAAACAGACUCCCAAAACAUUUGAAACACUUCU